AAGGUAGCGUAAUCACUUGUUCUUUAAAUGAGGACUAGUAUGAAUGGCACCACGAGGGUUGCACUGUCUCCUUUUCCUAAUCAAUGAAACUAAUCUCCCCGUGAAGAAGCGGGGGUACUACUAUAAGACGAGAAGACCCUAUGGAGCUUUAAAUUUCUCUUCAAACGCCAGACACAUAAACAUCUGACACUUUACAUCAACCCGACGCCUUGAAGAUGAAUUUUAGGUUGGGGUGACCAUGGAGAACAAAAUAACCUCCACGCUGAAAAGGCCUCCAAGCCUUGAGCCGAGGGCUACAACCCAACGCACUAAAAAAUUAACACCCAUUGACCCAAUAUUUUUGAUCAACGAACCAAGUUACCCUAGGGAUAACAGCGCAAUCUACUUCAAGAGUCCCUAUCGACAAGUGGGUUUACGACC
rnacentral:rRNA from 1 species